rnacentral:rRNA from 1 species
AACGAACGCUGGCGGCAGGCCUAACACAUGCAAGUCGAGCGCCCUUUCGGGGGAGCGGCGGACGGGUGAGUAACGCGUGGGAAUAUGCCCUUCUCUACGGAAUAGCCUCGGGAAACUGAGAGUAAUACCGUAUACGCCCUGUGGGGGAAAGAUUUAUCGGGGAAGGAUUAGCCCGCGUUGGAUUAGGUAGUUGGUGGGGUAAUGGCCUACCAAGCCGACGAUCCAUAGCUGGUUUGAGAGGAUGAUCAGCCACAUUGGGACUGAGACACGGCCCAGACUCCUACGGGAGGCAGCAGUGGGGAAUCUUAGACAAUGGGGGCAACCCUGAUCUAGCCAUGCCGCGUGAGUGAUGAAGGCCUUAGGGUUGUAAAGCUCUUUCAGCUGGGAAGAUAAUGACGGUACCAGCAGAAGAAGCCCCGGCUAACUCCGUG